UUGUGUUUUUUUUUUCAAUUAAUGGAAACAUAUAUUUUUAAGCAAAUUUUUUACAAAUAUGGACAUGAAAAGUGUGGCUUUUCUUUUGCAUUUAGCCCCAUUUUCAUGAUACCUCUAACAAAAAAUCCAGCGCAACCAGCUGCCUUUAGAUGUCACUUAAUUACUAUAAAUUAAGCAAGUGAAGAAGCGACCUCUUGAAGACCAAGGAAACACACCAGACAGGUCAGGUUAGGAAAUGCUUAAAGCAAAGGUUGGGUUAUUGAAGAAUGUCACAAUGGAACAACUCACAGCGCUCUGUUCAAUCCAUCAUCCUAAAAUCAAAUGCGGCAAAACUCGAGACCUACCAAGACAUUUAAGUUGUUGAGUGAAUUUGUUGAAAGUACAACCAUUAAGAAUGCACUCCGCUAAUCUGACUUUUGUGAAAGUGUGUCAGGAAGAUAGUUAUUGUUAAAAGAAAGCCAUAAAACUACAAUGUAUUGGUUGGUAAUUCUAAAUGAACAUCUGGUAGAGGUUGGGCCAGAGGUUCACCUUCCAGUAGAACAACAACCCUACACAUAUAGCUUGAGGAAAAGUUGAAUGGUUUACUUUGAAGUAUAUUCAUCCAAUUUAUCUAUGCAUUAACUUUUCCGCAGUAGAAAAAGCAAAAACUUCAGUGCAUAGAUUUGCAGAGCUGAUAGGGAUACAUCCCAAAAGGACAUGCAACUGUAAAAGCUGCAGGAGG